rnacentral:misc_RNA from 1 species
UUAACUUAUUUGUAUAUUACUCAGACAACAUAAAAAUCCAGAGUUUAGGGUCCUCUGGCAGGCGCGGACCAGCCUAAGCCAGUGGUCAUAAGACGGGCCUGCCAAAGCAACAAAGGUAAUGUAAACAAAGGGUGGGGGAGAUCUACCCCGAAGGGCAAUUUCUCUGUAAUGAUCCUUCCGCAGCGGAAAUAUAGCGGCAAUUUCUAGCAGCCUCCCUCUGUAAUGAUCCUUCCGCAGCGGAAAUAUAGCGGCAAUUUCUAGCAGCCUCCCGAUCAUAUCUUAAACCCUACACUGGGGGCCACCUCCAUUUGACCUGUGAGCCUAUUGCUAGGCUGCUGGUAUUGCAAAUGUAAAUCCCAGCACAGUGGAGAUGUUGCCUGCUGAUACAGACUUUCUAUUCUGGCGAACCUGGAAGAGAUGUUCACCUACGGAAA